CCGGGUUCAAGUGAUUGUCCUGCCUCAGCCUCCUGAGUAGCUGGGAUUACAGGCGCCCACCACCAUGCCUGGACGUCCCAGUGAUCGGGAGGAGCGGGAAGAGCUUCAGCUACAACCAGGACGUGGUGCUGCUGCUUCUGACAGACGGAGUCCUGUUCCACCUUCAGAGCGUCACGGCGUACGCCCUCAUGGGGAAAAUCUCCCCGGUGACUUUCAGGUCCCGCAGGCCCUGCACCGAGUCGCCUUGUCCAUGGCGCUGCCCUGCCCCAUGCUUCCUGCGUCCUGAGUAGGAGGUAUCUCCGAGACAGGAAAAGUGGCCGCUCUCUCUCACUUUUUCUGGAACUCAUGGUGGUCUCCUGGGCUUGGUCACUGUCUCUCACCAGCAUGUUUCUUUGUGCGGUCAGGAAUUAUUUCCAAAUGCUCCUGAAGCCUAGUGUUUUAGUGAACAUUAGUGAUUGUUAGCAGUGGUUCAAAAAAAAAAAA
rnacentral:lncRNA from 1 species